rnacentral:rRNA from 1 species
AACGAACGCUGGCGGCAGGCUUAACACAUGCAAGUCGAGCGCGAAGGAAGGGGAGCGGCAGACGGGAGAGGAACGCGUGGGAACGUACCCUUUGCUACGGAAUAGCUCCGGGAAACUGGAAUUAAUACCGUAUGUGCCCUACGGGGGAAAGAUUUAUCGGCAAAGGAUCGGCCCGCGUUGGAUUAGGUAGUUGGUGGGGUAAUGGCCUACCAAGGCGACGAUCCAUAGCUGGUGUGAGAGGAUGAUCAGCCACAUUGGGACUGAGACACGGCCCAAACUCCUACGGGAGGCAGCAGUGGGGAAUAUUGGACAAUGGGCGCAAGCCUGUUCCAGCCAUGCCGCGUGAGUGAUGAAGGCCUUAGGGUUGUAAAGCUCUUUCACCGGAGAAGAUAAUGACGGUAUCCGGAGAAGAAGCCCCGGCUAACUUCGUGCCAGCCGCCGCCGUAACAC